GAUGAACGCUGGCGGCGUGCCUAAUACAUGCGAGUCGAGCGAACAGACGAGGAGCUUGCUCCUCUGACGUUAGCGGCGGACGGGUGAGUAACACGUGGAUAACCUACCUAUAAGACUGGGAUAACUUCGGGAAACCGGAGCUAAUACCGGAUAAUAUAUUGAACCGCAUGGUUCAAUAGUGAAAGACGGUUUUGCUGUCACUUAUAGAUGGAUCCGCGCCGCAUUAGCUAGUUGGUAAGGUAACGGCUUACCAAGGCGACGAUGCGUAGCCGACCUGAGAGGGUGAUCGGCCACACUGGAAUUGAGACACGGUCCAGACUCCUACGGGAGGCAGCAGUAGGGAAUCUUCCGCAAUGGGCGAAAGCAUGACGGAGCAACGCCGCGUGAGUGAUGAAGGUCUUCGGAUCGUAAAACUCUGUUAUUAGGGAAGAACAAAUGUGUAAGUAACUAUGCACGUCUUGACGGUACCUAAUCAGAAAGCCACGGCUAACUACGUG
rnacentral:rRNA from 1 species